AGCAUAUCAAUAAGCGGAGGAAAAGAAACUAACAAGGAUUCCCCUAGUAACUGCGAGUGAAGCGGGAAAAGCUCAAAUUUAAAAUCUGGCAGUCUCUGGCUGUCCGAGUUGUAAUCUAGAGAAGUGUUAUCCGCGCUGGACCGUGUACAAGUCUCCUGGAAUGGAGCGUCAUAGAGGGUGAGAAUCCCGUCUUUGACACGGACUGCCAGGGCUUUGUGAUGCGCUCUCAAAGAGUCGAGUUGUUUGGGAAUGCAGCUCAAAAUGGGUGGUAAAUUCCAUCUAAAGCUAAAUAUUGGCGAGAGACCGAUAGCGAACAAGUACCGUGAGGGAAAGAUGAAAAGAACUUUGGAAAGAGAGUUAAACAGUACGUGAAAUUGCUGAAAGGGAAACGCUUGAAGUCAGUCGCGUUGGCCAGGGAUCAACCUUGCUUUUGCUUGGUGCACUUUCUGGUUGACGGGUCAGCAUCAAUUUUGACUAUUGGAAAAAGGUCAGGGGAAUGUGGCAUCUUCGGAUGUGUUAUAGCCCUUAGCUGCAUACAAUGGUUGGGAUUGAGGAACUCAGCACGCCGCAAGGCCGGGUUUUAACCACGUACGUGCUUAGGAUGCUGGCAUAAUGGCUUUAAUCGACCCGUCUUGAAACACGGACCAAGGAGUCUAACAUGCCUGCGAGUGUUUGGGUGGAAAACCCGAGCGCGCAAUGAAAGUGAAAGUUGAGAUCCCUGUCGUGGGGAGCAUCGACGCCCGGACCAGACCUUUUGUGACGGUCCCGCGGUAGAGCAUGUAUGUUGGGACCCGAAAGAUGGUGAACUAUGCCUGAAUAGGGUGAAGCCAGAGGAAACUCUGGUGGAGGCUCGUAGCGAUUCUGACGUGCAAAUCGAUCGUCAAAUUUGGGUAUAGGGGCGAAAGACUAAUCGAACCAUCUAGUAGCUG
rnacentral:rRNA from 2 species